rnacentral:rRNA from 1 species
UACGUAGGGUGCGAGCGUUAAUCGGAAUUACUGGGCGUAAAGCGUGCGCAGGCGGUUCGUUGUGUCGGCGGUGAAAGCCCCGGGCUUAACCUGGGAAUGGCCGUUGAAACUGGCUCGCUGGAGUGUGGCAGAGGGGGGGUGGAAUUCCGCGUGUAGCAGUGAAAUGCGUAGAUAUCAGGAGGAACACCUGUGGCGAAAAGCGGCUCACUGGACCAUAACUGACGCUGAUGCACGAAAGCUAGGGGGAGCAAACAGG